GAGAGGAAGAGCUCUUGUUGGACCUGUUUGGCCUAGCUUUAUUUGGAUUGUAACUGUAAAGUGUUUUCCAGGCAAGCCCACUAAAUAAGUCCUUUGGAACAGGGCAUCAUAGAGGGUGACAAUCCCGUCUUUGGCUUGAGCAUUUGCCUUUUGUGAUACCCUUUCAAAGAGUCGAGUUGUAUGGG
rnacentral:rRNA from 1 species